rnacentral:rRNA from 1 species
GUGAGGAAUCUUGCGCAAUGGGGGAAACCCUGACGCAGCAACGCCGCGUGAGCGAAGAAGGCCUUCGGGUCGUAAAGCUCUGUCUAGUGGGAAAAAAGUCCUGGUGUAAAUAGCUCCAGGAUCUGAUGGUACCGCUGGAGGAAGCACCGGCUAACUCCGUGCCAGCAGCCGCGGUAAUACGGAGGGUGCAAGCGUUGUUCGGAAUUAUUGGGCGUAAAGGGCGUGUAGGCGGUUUGGUAAGUCAGAUGUGAAAGCCCUGGGCUUAACCCAGGAAGUGCAUUUGAAACUACCAGACUUGAGUAUGGGAGAGGAGAGUGGAAUUCCCAGUGUAGAGGUGAAAUUCGUAGAUAUUGGGAGGAACAUCCGUGGCGAAGGCGACUCUCUGGACCAAUACUGACGCUGAGACGCGAAAGCGUGGGGAGCAAACAGGAUUAGAAACCCUUGUAGUCC